rfam:Gossypium raimondii Chr05_contig_8, whole genome shotgun sequence.
UGUUAAAAAUUUCAUCUAUUUCUAUUAUUAAAAAUUAGCAUAGUUGAGGGAAUAAUAAAAUACUUACACGUGGCUUACCACGUGUACAUCAUAUUGACGUGUAGGGACUAGUUUUUAAUAGUAAAAAUAUAUGAAAUUUUUAACA